GAUGAACGCUGGCGGCGUGCCUAAUACAUGCAAGUCGAGCGAAUGGAUUAAGAGCUUGCUCUUAUGAAGUUAGCGGCGGACGGGUGAGUAACACGUGGGUAACCUGCCCAUAAGACUGGGAUAACUCCGGGAAACAGGGGCUAAUACCGGAUACAAUUUUGAACCGCAUGGUUCGAAAUGUAAAGGCGGCUGCGGCUGUCAUUUAUGGCUGGAUCCGAGUCGCAUUAGCUAGUUGGUGAGGUAACGGCCCACCAAGGCAACGAUGCGUAGCUGACCUGGGAGGGUGAUCGGCCACACUGGGACUGAGACACGGCCCAGACUCCUACGGGAGGCAGCAGUAGGGAAUCUUCCGCAAUGGACGAAAGUCUGACGGAGCAACGCCGCGUGAGUGAUGAAGGCUUUCGGGUCGUAAAACUCUGUUGUUAGGGAAGAACAAGUGCUAGUUGAAUAAGCUGGCACCUUGACGGUACCUAACCAGAAAGCCACGGCUAACUACGUGCCAGCAGCCGCCGUAA
rnacentral:rRNA from 1 species